rnacentral:antisense_RNA from 1 species
GAAGAUGCUACGGCCUGCCACGACCACCUGGGCUGCGUCGCGGCACACACUGAUGGCAUUGGCGGGAGCAUCCAGGUGGCAGUGCAUGGUGCGGCCUGUCAGCACGCUGCCACCCAGGGCUGUGGUCACACGGGACAUCUUCUCCAUGGCUGCACAGGAAUGCGAGGUCCUCUGCCUUCGUGUAGUCACUGCUGUUUCCAUUCUACCAUGUGAGCAUCCAGCCGCUGCCCCUGCGUUGCAAGAAAGUAUAAAUCUGAUAAGAGGCACAGGAGAAUCCCGAGACCUGGGAUGCGCAGGGCAGAUAUGCCCGCCUACACUGUUGUCUGGGGACCUAAAAACAACUCAGACACAUGUUUUUACAACUUUUUUAAUAUAUAUUUUUAUAAACAGGUCACGUGAUAAAAUA